CCUACGGGUGGCUGCAGUGGGGAAUAUUGCGCAAUGGGCGAAAGCCUGACGCAGCGACGCCGCGUGAGGGAUGAAGGUCUUCGGAUCGUAAACCUCUGUCAGCAGGGAAGAAAGAUCAUUGUGUUACUCAGCAGUGAAUUGCCGCUACCUGCAAAGGAAGCUCCGGCUAACUACGUGGAAGCAGCGGUGGAAAUACGAAGGGAGCGAGGGUUGUCCGGAAUGACUGGGUGGAAAGUGUGCGUUGGCGGGCGAGAAAGUUGAAUGUUAAGUCUACUGGCUAAACUGGUAGCUGCGUUCAAAACUACUUGUCUUGAGUGAAGUAGAGGCAGGCGGAAUUCCUAGUGUAGCGGUGAAAUGCGUAGAUAUUAGGAGGAACACCAGUGGCGAAGGCGGCCUACUGGGCUUUAACUGACGCUGAGGCUCGAAAGCGUGGGGAGCAAACAGGAUUAGAUACCCGAGUAGUC
rnacentral:rRNA from 1 species